rnacentral:rRNA from 1 species
GCUUACGGCCACACCGCCUGGUUCACGCCCGGUUUCGUUUGAUCUCGGAAGCUAAGAUAGGUUGGGCCUGGUUAGUACUUGGAUGGGAGACCGCCUAGGAAUACCAGGUGCUGUAAGGC